GAUGAACGCUAGCGGCAGGCUUAACACAUGCAAGUCGAGGGGUAACAGGGAAAAGCUUGCUUUUCCGCUGACGACCGGCGCACGGGUGCGUAACGCGUAUAGAACCUACCUUUUACAGAGGGAUAGCCUUUAGAAAUGAAGAUUAAUACCUCAUAGUACUGAGCUCUCGCAUGAGAAUUUAGUUAAAGAUUUAUCGGUAAAAGAUGGCUAUGCGUCCUAUUAGCUAGAUGGUAAGGUAACGGCUUACCAUGGCAACGAUAGGUAGGGGUCCUGAGAGGGAGAUCCCCCACACUGGUACUGAGACACGGACCAGACUCCUACGGGAGGCAGCAGUGAGGAAUAUUGGGCAAUGGAGGCAACUCUGACCCAGCCAUGCCGCGUGCAGGAAGACUGCCCUAUGGGUUGUAAACUGCUUUUAUACAGGAAGAACAGUCCUACGUGUAGGACCUUGACGGUACUGUAAGAAUAAGCACCGGCUAACUCCGUGCCAGCAGCCG
rnacentral:rRNA from 1 species